rnacentral:rRNA from 1 species
UCGGGAAUCUUGGGCAAUGGGCGCAAGCCUGACCCAGCAACGCCGCGUGGAGGAUGAAGUCCCUCGGGAUGUAAACUCCGAAAGAAGGGGACGAAUAAGCAUGGGCUAAUACCCGUGCGAUGACGGUACCCUUUGUAAGCCCGCUAACUACGUGCCAGCAGCCGCGGUAAUACGUAGGGGGCAAGCGUUGUUCGGAUUUACUGGGCGUAAAGCGCGCGUAGGCGGCACUGCAAGUCACUUGUGAAAUCUCCGGGCUUAACUCGGUAGGGGCCAAGUGAUACUGCAGAGCUAGAGUGCGGAAGAGGCAGCUGGAAUUCUCGGUGUAGCGGUGAAAUGCGUAGAUAUCGAGAGGAACACCGGUGGCGAAGGCGGGCUUGCUGGGCCGACACUGACGCUGAGGCGCGAAAGCUAGGGGAGCAAACA